rnacentral:rRNA from 1 species
AGGAUUAACGCUGGCGGCGUGCAUGAAACAUGCAAGUCGAGCGCGGUGUGAUGCGGGGUAACCCAAUUCACAUCUAGCGGCGAACGGGUGAGUAACACGUGAGCAACCUACCUUUGAGUUGGGGAUAGCCCUGGGAAACCAGGAUUAAUACCCGAUGUGGUCACAACAGGACAUCCUGAUGUGAGUAAAGGCGUAAGCCGCUCAAUGACGGGCUCGCGGCCUAUUAGCUUGUUGGUGGGGUAACGGCCUACCAAGGCGAUGAUGGGUAGCUGGUCUGAGAGGACGAUCAGCCACACUGGGACUGAGACACGGCCCAGACUCCUACGGGAGGCAGCAGUUAGGAAUUUUCCGCAAUGGGCGAAAGCCUGACGGAGCAACGCCGCGUGAGUGAUGAAGACCUUCGGGUUGUAAAGCUCUGUCGGAGGGGAAGAACACAAUGACGGUACCUCCAACGAAGCCCGGACUAACUACGCGCCAGCACGCCGCGGUAAC